rnacentral:rRNA from 3 species
AGUAAGGAAUAUUCCACAAUGAGCGAAAGCUUGAUGGAGCGACACAGAGUGCAGGAUGAAGUCUUUAGGGAUGUAAACUGCUGUUGUAAGGGAAGAAAAAACUAGAUAGGAAAUGAUUUAGUCUUGACGGUACCUUAUUAGAAAGUGACGGCAAACUAUGUGCCAGCAGCCGCGGUAAUACAUAGGUCGCAAGCGUUAUCCGGAAUUAUUGGGCGUAAAGCGUCCGCAGGUUUUUUGUUAAGUUUAAGGUUAAAUGCUAAAGCUCAACUUUAGUUCGCUUUAGAUACUGACAAAAUAGAAUUAUGAAGAGGUUAGCGGAAUUCCUAGUGGAGCGGUGGAAUGCGUAGAUAUUAGGAAGAACACCAAUAGGCGAAGGCAGCUAACUGGUCAUAUAUUGACACUAAUGGACGAAAGCGUGGGGAGCAAACAGGAUUAGAUACCCUGGUAGUCCACGCCGUAAACGAUGAUCAUUAGUUGGUGGCAAAAGUCACUAGCACAGCUAACGCGUUAAAUGAUCCGCCUGAGUAGUAUGCUCGCAAGAGUGAAA